GGGGAGGGCCAAUCUUUGCUCACACCAACAAUAAUGCUAAUUAGCUACGAAUUCCACAUUUCCAAGUAUUGAUGUGAAAACUGGAUAAUUUCAGUGACUUGGUCCUUUAAGUCUCGUUCAGGAAAACGAACAAGUCUUUUUCAAAGGGUGUAAGGUAUGCUCUGAAUUUGACAAUACAACAUGUUGAUUAUGACAUUGUUGUACUACAAUUUGAACUCCCGAAUCAGACGAAGAUCAAGAUUUUUUUUGACAUCCGACUGAAAAUAAUUGAAUGCCGAGUCACAUACAUAGCUACAAAUGAUACCCAUCAACAUGCCUUUGACAGCUGUACCAUGCCCCACCUUCUCAGCAAGGACAAAUGGAGACCUAAAACACAGACAACCUCUUUAAUUCAAGGCCUGUAAUGCUUUGGUUGAUGAAGUGGUGACAUAAUCCACUGGCCCCUUAAACAGGCUGGCAGAGGAGCGCUGCAGGUCUAGACAAGCCAGCAGCAUAGAACACUGGAAACAUGGGAGAGGGCCUCAGACACACUCAGUGCUGGAGAUCACCCUAUGAAUGGCAGACAAGAUGAUUUGAAAAAACAUGUGAAGCCAGUAUGUCAGUCAUGCUAAUCUAGCACUAGUACACCAGCCAGAUCUGCCCUGUAUUUACAUCACAUAAGUCAUUUAACAGAUACUCUUAUCUUGAACGACUUCUAGGAUCAGUUGAGGCAAGCAAACCUUUUGGUAACUGACCAUACAUGUUAAACCACUACGAUGUCUAACAAUAUACUGACAUCUAUACAAUGACUUCAGCAAUGUCUUUAUUAUCUUUCCUUCCUAGUUCCAGAUGACCCAUGUUAUGCUGUGGGAGUCCCAUCCCAUACCCUCCUGCUUCACUGCCAGGACACACCUUAAACACCUCCUGGGACAUGCCGGUUCCCACGAAUGAACCAGCUCAGUAGUCAAAACUCAAGCUCAGUCAUAUUAUGACACCCUCUCUCUGUGUGCCUCCUUCUCUGUGUUUGAGCUUUUAUUUGCAGAUUGGGGACAGGUGGAGCUGAUUGGGUCGUUGACAGGUCGCACCUGGGUUUUGGACCAACUACAUGAUCAUUUUAAUGAAGUGAUUGUCACGGGUUGGAUAUUAAUUGUGAAUGUAUUUUGAUUAUGUUUGUGACUUGAUCUACUGUGAUUUUGAUUUGGAUAUUGUGUGUGGUUUAGUGUUGUGAUUGGUGUUUUGGUUGUAGUGCUUUUGUGUUAUUUUUCUAUUCGUUAAUUGGUUAACAACCCGUGAACUUCGACCUGUACAAUGAGGCUAUUGAUUGGACUGUAGAAUAAGAACAGGAAAUAAAGACCGGACACCGAGAAGGAGAGGAGCAGAAGACUACCGGAGACAGCUUGAAGCGGUGGAAGAAAUUACUACGCGAGACACAAGAUCUACGAGCCAGAGGAUCCACGCAGGAUCCCGUAUACCCAUAAGGCUCGACGUGCGCAUCCCGGGGAAUGGGCUACUACUGCCUGUGACCCGGACAGAGUGUGAGUACGCUAACGUGGAGAGAUUGUUGCGCUUUGUUGUUUGGGUAUACGGAGAGCGGUUGUCCUGUAUGUAGGAUCCUGGUCGUGGAUGACAGACGUGGUAUACUCCUCUGGAGUGACCGUUUUGAGCCUAGCUAAAAGAACACCAGACUGGCACAUUGUCUUCCUUUGUUUUCCGGUUUAGCCUUUCCUGCCAGUUAGACGAAGGCCGAACUCCGGUGGAAAGGAGCGGAUUGCUCGGCUGGUCGCCGGUGUACGCUGCAUCUCAGGGACUGGGACAUUUGCAUAGAUAUGGUUUUUCAUAUAUAUAUUUUAUUGCUCGAUGUUUUAAGUAUUGUAAUGUAAUUUAUUGUUAAUGUAAAUACCUAUUGAAGUUGUGGUGAAAUAAAAUAUUGAUUAAAGUAUA